ensembl:lncRNA novel transcript, antisense to CHRM2
CCGGUCAGGAAGCUUUAUGUUCUGGAUCAUCCAGGAGAGGGACAGAGGUGGUCGGUUGGUGCGACUCAUAAACAACCUCUUCAGCACAACCUGGUUGAAUGUGGAGUUGUUCCGUCUGACCAGAAACCUGUACAGUUUGACCAACAGCCUCAGGGUGUUGGUGUCCCUCUGUUGCCCAGGCUGGAGUGCAGUGGCAAGACUGGCUCACUGCAACCUCCACCUCCUGGGAUCAAGCGAUCCUCCCAUCUCAUCCUCCAGGAGCUGGGACUAAAGACAGUUGACCAUUAAACAACACAGGUUUGAACUGAGUGGAUCCACUUAUAUGCAUACGUGCAUUUUCUCCUGACUCGGCCACCCCUGAGACAGCAAGACCAAUCACUCCUCUUUGACUUCCUCCUCAUUUUACUCAAUGUGAAGACCACCAGGAUGAAGACCUUUAUGAUGAUCCACUUCCACUUAAUGAAUAGGGGCAAGAGACAAUAUAGGAAGGAAGAGAUGCAGUUCUGGAUUUUACAGGCUUAUGGAGUAGACCAAUGUUUGGAACGCCAUAUGGAUUUAUGGAUCUUCUUUCCACGUAGGAAGAUGACUUCUUUGAAAGACAGGUAAUGUGAGACACAUGCCCUGAACUCCGGAGUGAAUAGCAGCUGAAACAGCUGCUGGAGCCCCUAUCCUGCCAGCAAGUAUCCCCUUCAUCUUCAGGCUGACAGAGAGCUGCUGGCUGCAUCUGAUCUGUCAGCUGCUUCACUCCUCCGGAAUGAGCAAAUAGUCUGUGCCCUGAUCUAAGAUGAGAAAAAACAACAGCCUAAUCACUAAAAACUCUGCCACUGACGCACAU